UACGUAGGGUGCAAGCGUUGUCCGGAAUUAUUGGGCGUAAAGAGCUCGUAGGCGGUUUGUCGCGUCUGCUGUGAAAACGCGAGGCUCAACCUCGCGCCUGCAGUGGGUACGGGCAGACUAGAGUGCGGUAGGGGAGAUUGGAAUUCCUGGUGUAGCGGUGGAAUGCGCAGAUAUCAGGAGGAACACCGGUGGCGAAGGCGGGUCUCUGGGCAGUAACUGACGCUGAGGAGCGAAAGCGUGGGGAGCAAACAGG
rnacentral:rRNA from 1 species